AUUAUUUUGGCAGAUUAGUGCAAUAAAUUUAGAAUUUAUGAAUGUAUUUGAAGGUACAAAUAAUA
rnacentral:tRNA from 1 species